AGCAUGUAAUACAGCAAAGGUAAUUUUCACAGCAUAUUUUAACAAAGUAGCACCUGUAUUUUCAUGGUUAUAUUUUAACAUUACAGAACAGUUAAUUUUUGCAACAUAUUUCUCUAUAAGAGCAAAACAGCAGUUCUCCUCAUUAUGCAAAAUUCCUAUGGUAUGUGAAAUAUAAUUAUAAAGAUACCAUCAACUUAUGAGGAUAGAUAAUAUUCAGAGUGUGGCUAAUGCAGAUAACGUCUUUCCUGUGGCACAUGAGAUCUCAGAUUCUGAUAUUUUCAGGAGAAAGCAAGUUACCUCAUCUCAUAUUGGAUGUUUUCAUGGGAUUUUAAUAAUUACCUUCUAACAUAACUUGGCUCUAACAUCUUUACAUAUUACAUUGACAGAACACAAAAAAUAAAUAUAUCAGUAUAUUUGCCCCAAAAAUAACAGCUGUAAAAUCACAUCUUAACAAAAACACUGUCAACUGAGUAAAGAAAUGAUGCAAGACAGACCCAUUAUUAACAGUUUCUUGUUACAUUUGUGGUAAAGUUACAGCAUAUAAACAUUAUCAUACUUUGUGUAAUAGCACUAUUGAGCUGUAAGUGAUCUGCUUCAACAUUUCUGUGGCACACCAUUUUCUUAUUCACAGUAUAUGAUAAGCUGUUUGCAUUUGAUUGACAAGAAGUAGACAUAUAAAAAUGGAAACAGCCACAGAAUGUUGCUUUACAGGUAGUACUUAUGUACAAUGAGGAGUGGGGAGGGAACUGAUGUUUUAGGUCAGCAACUGAGGCUAUUUCACAGCAAAGCAGCCAUCCCUGUAAAGAGAUGCCACGUGCAGAGAAAGAACGGCAUGCCCAAAAUGAGAUCUGAACCCAGGACAACCAAUCCUAUUGGGCUAACCGUUGAAUCACCAGACUACCCGAGAGUCAACAAUGGACUAGAAGUGAAAACUAAUCCAAACAGCAAACAGAUCGACGAAGAUUCCCUUGCACUGAUGCGUGAGAAUGCUCUCCCUUGGGCGCGCCGUGUGGCUUGUGGUUGACGCCGCACCAGCCAAGGCUACAUCACGGCGAUGCACUUCCUACAAACAAUCAGAGAUCAUCAUCCUAUAUGAUCCCUAAGCCGGCGAGUCAUGUUCCUUGUCUUACUGGUCGCCACAUAUAAUUGUAUCAUUUAGUGAGUUUGCAGUAGCGGCAACAUUUGAAUAGCACGAUUCUAUCAUGGACGUGUAUACAAGUUCGUGAUUCUAUGCACUACGGCAGGGCCUCGGGUUCACAGUUUAUACUGUUUUCAUUUUCCUUCUCCGUAGUCGUUUAGAUACACGGCGAUAAUUGCUAGGAUAUGUGACCUUGAGAAUUUUGACGGUGAACCUGUUAACCUGAGAAUAUUGACGACGAAAACUUGAAUCUCAAAAGGAGAACAGCUUUAUAGCUAGUGUUUUUCUUAUCUGGGGAAUUACUUUCCUGCAUUUUAUGGUUUUACUACGGUUUGAAAAAAAUUGCAUUCCCGUGAGCCAGACCUCCGUAAACAUUCAAAACACAACCAGUAUUUAGCAGAUUGAUGUACUGGCCUAUUGCAGAAAAGCGCAUAUAAAAUAUCUUACAACGGCUGAACAAAUAGAAGCACGUGAAGUAAGGUAGAAUGCUGGAAGAAUGAAAAAUUAAUCUUCCAGCUAACUAGCUACAAAAGGUCUCAACAAAUGGCAUCGAUAUUUAUUGAUCCCCAGAAAGUGUUCAAUUUGUGAUUACUGAUACCAUCAGUAUAUUUGCCCUGGAUUUAAUGUUCCAGCCCACCCACACUGUGAUCAAGACAAGAAAAAGAGGUUGCCACUUUACGAUAAAAUCUGUGAAAUAUCUUUUAAUUAUUAUCCAUACAACUUUUUUUGUUGUAUAUUGUGGAUGAGUAAGUGAAGAGAUACUACACAUUGAUCAGAGAGGGAACCUGAGCUGGGAAUAAGCGUGCAAAGAUUUCAUUUAGGCAGUCUUUUAGACAUUGGGAGUGGUGUCAGACCCUACUUUUCCCAUCUCUCACUGUCACUAUUUUACCUUGCCCCAACCCUUUGUGGAACCAGGUACCCAUUCUGAACAGAUGCAUCGACUAGGGUUGUUCACUGCAUUGAACAGUUAUCAAACUUGUGUACCUUUGGGUUAGGACAGCAGUGCUUUAACCACUCAACCAUCCAUUUUUCCUCUUACUUAAACCUUCAAUUGUUCAAUAUACAGAUGCUUGAUUGCAUCUUAAUUGAAAUGUAUGUGCAUAUAACUAUGUGUGAUCAAGUUCCAAAUUAAAUAAAAUGUAUUCUUUUUCUUGGCUAUUAGAGAAUAAGGUACAAAUAAGAAAUGUUUGAAAAAAUCACUAUUUCUUAUAUAAUUAGUAAAUGCACAAAACUGUUGAAAAGAAAACAAGAAAGAGGAUCUUGGAUAGAUUUACUUUCUUCAUACAUAGUUCUCUACUGCCAUUUCAUAACAGCUCACACUUGAUAAAAGCAGCUCCAACAAAACUCACAACAUGUUCAUCCAUAUGUUGAUCUCUAUGCGCUUACAAACCAAUGAACAGUAAGUAAACUGAGUCAGCAAUUUAGUCAACCUUUAAUUUACACCUAUUAUGCAAAAUAAAUAAGGCAGCAAA